AACGAACGCUGGCGGCAGGCUUAACACAUGCAAGUCGAACGCCCCGCAAGGGGAGUGGCAGACGGGUGAGUAACGCGUGGGAACAUACCCUUUCCUGCGGAAUAGCUCUGGGAAACUGGAAUUAAUACCGCAUACGCCCUACGGGGGAAAGAUUUAUCGGGGAAGGAUUGGCCCGCGUUGGAUUAGCUAGUUGGUGGGGUAAAGGCCUACCAAGGCGACGAUCCAUAGCUGGUCUGAGAGGAUGAUCAGCCACAUUGGGACUGAGACACGGCCCAAACUCCUACGGGAGGCAGCAGUGGGGAAUAUUGGACAAUGGGCGCAAGCCUGAUCCAGCCAUGCCGCGUGAGUGAUGAAGGCCUUAGGGUUGUAAAGCUCUUUCACCGAUGAAGAUAAUGACGGUAGUCGGAGAAGAAGCCCCGGCUAACUUCGUGCCAGCCGCCGCCGUAACAC
rnacentral:rRNA from 1 species